GGACUACCCGGGUUUCUAAUCCCGUUUGCUCCCCUGGCUUUCGCGCCUCAGCGUCAGAAGAGGUCCAGCACGCCGCUUUCGCCACCGGCGUUCCUUCCGAUAUCUACGCAUUUCACCGCUCCACCGGAAGUUCCGCAUGCCCCUACCUCCCUCGAGGCCACCAGUAUCCAAGGCAGUUUUCCGGUUGAGCCGAAAGAUUUCACCCCGGACUUUGUGGCCCGCCUACGCGCCCUUUAAGCCCAGUGAAUCCGAACAACGUUCGCACGGUUCGUCUUACCGCGGCGGCUGGCAC
rnacentral:rRNA from 1 species